rnacentral:tRNA from 1 species
UAGGAGGCGGCUGUUGAGGUGGUGAGUUGUAGCCUCAUUUAUGGGAAUAGUUUAUUCUCCCUCUUG